CUAGUAAUCGCGGAUCAGAAUGCCGCGGUGAAUACGUUCCCGGGUCUUGUACACACCGCCCGUCACACCAUGGGAGUCGGAAAUGCCCGAAGUCUGUGACCUAACCGUAAGGGAGGAGCAGCCGAAGGCAGGUCGGAUGACUGGGGUGAAGUCGUAACAAGGUAGC
rnacentral:rRNA from 1 species